UGUUUUUUUUUUUCUGUAUUAACACGAUUAAAAGACAAAAUGAAUUAAAUAAUAAAAGAGUAAUUAAAUUUGGCAUCAUGUGUGUAUGAUUUGGAUGAUUGAUGUUGACUAUGCUUCGGAAUCUGAUGUUAGUAUGGUGAAGCAGCGAUACAUCGAUCGUCCAUGGAUAACACAAAUGAGUUCGAUCAAUUUAUAUAUAUGAUAUAAGAUAAUCUGAUGCAAAAUAUGGUAUAUAUGAUAUACUAUUUCUAUUUCGUUCAUUCAAACACUUAAUUAUUUUUAUUCUUUUAAGCGAUCAAUAGCCAAUUGCUUCGGAAUCCGACAUUAGUAUGGUGAAGCAAUGGCGUGUUGAUCAAUCAUACUGAAUUAUCAAUCAAGGUGUGUUUGACGAUAUGGAAUUGUUGCAUUAGGGUUCAUGAUGGUACAAGGGUUAUGCUGUCAAAGAGUUAUGCGAUUAGGGUUGUGACUGCAUAAGAGUUGUGCUUUAAAGUAUCAUGUGUUGACCGAGAAGAAGAACCCCCGACUAACUCUGGGUAGUAUGAUCAAUCACCAAAAUUUAAUUUGGUUUAUAUAAUUAAUAGAAUUUAAAUUAAUAAUAAUAAUGUGUUUAUUAUUAUUGUCUUGUGGUGAUCAGUUAUGGCCUUAGUUUUCCUUUAUUUUGUUUUUGGGAUUUUAAAAUACAACCCGCGUGUCGUGCCUCUAUUUUAAUCUCUUAAUGUAACUUAUUUUCUCAUCUCACUCCCUCGUAUGUAAAACGAGUUUCUUUUAUGUAAUAUAAUGUUAUGAAAAAAGAGAAUAAUAUAAUAUCAAAUUGGGAUAACCUUGAAGAUCUUGCUUGGAGAAGCUAAGAUUGUUAUUAGGUUAUAUUAGGUUCUCUCAUUGGCUUGGGAGAACAAUUGCGAUAUGGGCCAUAACAGUUUCAUUUUGUAUGUAUAUUGAUGCAUCUGAGAGACGAUUUAUAUGAUAAAUAAGCCGGAGAGAUCAAAAUAAUUGCAAAUUCCCUCAUAUUAAAUAUUAAGUUUAUGCUUUCCAAUUUUUAGCACUCAUCAAGACUAGUAUCGAAUAAUGUAGGUUUCGCCUACGUGAGGUACAUGUUCUGUAUUAGUAUGGUGUGAUGGGAUGAUUGUAAUAAUCCAACAUUGCCUAAAACAAUGGGUCAAACUUAACUAAAAAAUUAUAAUAAGAUUAUAUAUGUUUAGAAGCAAGAGUUGGAAUUGAAUAAGGAGUUACUCACCCAACUAAAAUAUUCGAGAGUUGUAUUAGAUACAAUUGGAAGGAGUUCCUACCUAAAUAACCUAGUUUUGUGUAAUCCUCCUACGCGAACUUAAAACAAAGUGAAAUUUGGAUCUCGACCCAAUAGAAAAUCUUCCAACGGGAUUUUCCGAAUCAAUGGUGAUGGUCAUUUGUUUUGAGUAAAAUAGUGGAAGCAUAUUUAAUUAAAGGCCUAAUUAAAUAUGUUAUUUUAAUGAUACUUAUAUUUUCAUAUUUUUCAUGUAGAUUACCAUGACAACAAACACCUCUAACAACAUUUUACGAUCAAUCCUUGAUAAGGAAAAAUUGUCUGGGACAAAUUUUCUGGAUUGGCACCGAAAUCCGAGGAUUAUUCUUAAGCAUGAUAAAAAGUUGUAUGUCUUGGAGAAACCUAUUCCUGAAGAGGAACCUCCUAGUUCUGCACCUAAGGCAGAGAUAUAUGCUUAUAAGAAGCAUGUCAAUGAUAACAAUGAAGUUGCUUUCCUCAUGCUAGCUACCAUGAACUCGGAGUUGUAAAUGCAACAUGAGAACAUGGGAGCGUUCGAUAUGAUCAUACACCUGAAGAUGCUCUAUCAAGAGCAGGAAAGGCAUGAGUUGUUUGAAGUUUCAAAGCCUUUUUUCAAUGCAUGUUAGCUGAGGGAGCCAAUGUAGGUCCACAUGUCCUCCAGAUGAUUGGGUAUAGUAAGACCCCGAUUUUGAUCCUAAGAUUCCUCAUGCAAUUUCAUCAUAAGCAUUAGCAUUGGGUUCAUACCUUGGCAUCCUCCGUACCCCUCUUUCAUUGGGUUUGUUUUGGGAGAGAUAACGAAACACCAUGUAAUUGUAUCAUACUUGUAUAUUAUUUUACUAACCAAAAUACCAAAAAUAUGUCUUUGCAUUUGCCUAAUUCUUUUGUAGGUAGGGCAUGAUCACCAUUGAUCUAUCAAGUUCAUAUCUAGGGUUUGAGACCCUCAUGACAAGGAGCGCAACAAUGGAUUGAUCCAAGAAUGGUUAUAAGCAUCAUAUAUGAGUCCCCAUGAUUCCUACAUGUUAUACUGAUCAAGUAUUCUUCAAGAGUUUGAGGGUGAUUUGCCUUGGAAACCCCAGUUUAACUAGGUAUCUUGAGUAACUUCUCCUACAAGCUAUCUCAUCAAUUUAUCAAAAUUAUCAAGGGACACUUAAAAUUUCAUCAUAUUAUGCAUAUAUGAUUUACCAUGAGCCAAGAAAGUCCAAAGAAUUGAAGGUUAUCAAGUUGGCUGAUGGUGGUUGGCCAGAUGAAUUCAUCUGAUCAAAACUGGGUCUCCCUAGACCCUAACUCCUACAAUUUUCACCAUAUGAAAAUUAUUCUCAGAGCAAAGUUACUCUAAAUGACAUUCCAAACAACUUUCAAGUUGAGAUCUAGAGCUAGUUUUGCUUGGAAAAUCAUUUUCUAUGUUGAAACAUUAUAGGUCAUUUUGUCUAAACCCUAAUUUGAAAGUCAACUUCCCAUGGCCAUAACUUGCUCAAUUUUUAUGAUAUGAAAUAUUUACAAGUUGCACAAUCAAAUUAAAGAUGUCUAAUUCAACUUUGAUAUUUGGUGUAAGAUCUAAUUCAACUUUUAUGAGCAUGUGAUAUGAGGUUACAUUAUAGGUCUUUUUUUAUCUAUACCAUUGAACAAGUGAUUUUUCCAAACUUCAAAAAUGCAUAACUCUAUCAUUCUAGUUCCAAAUGAAAUGAAAUUUGUGACCACUUUGAAGAUCUUUGAUAGAGCUACAACUUUGAUGAAGACACUUUUCUCAUCUGAAGCUCACGUAAAAAGUUAAGCAAGAUGGAAUAUUGAGAUAUAUGACUUAACACAGAAAUUUUUUCAACAUGUUGAAAUUUCCAAACUUCCUCCUCAAAAUUCACCAUGUUCUUAACUCCAAAUGGAAAAGUGUUCAACAUGAAACUUGUUCCCCUUGAUCCAAUCUUUCCAAAGUCCCCAAGUUCAUUCAUUUUGGAUGAAGUUUUCUAGGUUUGCGCAUGGCUUUAACAGGGCUACAUCAUGGGAAAGAAUCAAAUGUACAAGCUUAACUUCACAUUGCCUUUCCAUUCAAGCUUCAUUCAGACUUCAACAUGAUUGAUUUUGGACCUUUAUGCAUUGCAUCAUGGGCCUGUACAUGCACAUGCACUCGUGCCAUUCACAUUGCCAAAUUUGGACAAAUUAUGGACUUCUGUGAUUCAAAUCAAACUUUCAAAAGUAAAAUGUGAUUAUCAUUAAUAUGUUUUAUUCAACUCAAGAACUUCUAUGAUUAAAAUCAUAUUCACUAGAGAAAAUCCCGACUUUUCCACAUAACUUGAUUCAAAUCAUGUCAUCCCAUGAUUUGAAUCACGCUUCAAGAUUUUAGUUUUUUUUUAUAAUCAAAUGGAGCGUUAUACUGAAUCAGAAUAUGACAUGACUUAAAUCAUUCUCAAACGUUCUUCUUAAUUUAAAACUUUGACUAUUUGACUAGGAGUGUAUUGUUAGGACCAUAAUCAAACAAUUUGAUUUAUGUAUAAGUUAAAAUAGAUUGAAAACUAAACUUUAAAGCCCACAAUACAGUGAGGAGAGUCAAAUACGAUAAAAUAAACCAAAAACUAGAUAGCAAAGCAACAAAACAUAAACGCGUAAAUCCUAUGACGUAGAGGAAACUUCAACAUCCAUGUUUUAUUUACUUAAAUCAAACAUUUUUAACAAGCAUGCAUUUAAGAAAAUAAUUUUAACAUUUACAAGAGAAGAGAUUACAUUAAGGAACCAACUUUGAAUCAUUUUUCUAUUCUUACAAUUCAUCCCAGAUAAUGGUUUUCUACUUCAUGCAUUUACUUUAAUUAUAAUUGUUUUCAUUGUAUUAUAUUUAAAUUUCAACACUUUGUAUCCAAGUUAAAUCGUUGUGGUAUUCUCAUUCUAAUUUGUUAUUGAGGGUUUCAAGUGGAUCAGUGAUAUUUCAUGGGGAUUGAUGAGUUAACAAUAUAUUUCUUACUUUAUAAAUGGAUGGAAAAGAUUCAUUACUUAUAAAAAAAAUUAAAUAAAAGGCGAUAAAAUAGAUUUUCCCUCGGUUGACAGCUCACCCAAGAGAAUAUGUCAUAAAUAAAACAUUAAAAAAAAUAAAAUUCGCUAAAAUGCAGUUGCUAGAAUUUAAAGGGGAAUUGAUCCAAAAAUCUUCAACUCGGUUAACAGCUCAACCGAGGGUAUAAGUUAUCAAUACAAUAUUAUAAAUAAAUAAAGUGUGAUAAAAUAUAGUUAUUGAGAUUCGAAGGAAGGUUGAUCAAAAUUGUUUCGCUCAGUUGCCAGCUCAAUCGACUAAAUAGGCAGUACUUUAUAAAAAUAUGUAGGAAUGUAGGUUCGAACAUGUGAUAUCUCAUUUGUUUAUCUUUAAAAGUUGAAUUCCACCGAGACAAAUGAUAAAAUAUGGGCGUUUUUAAAAAAUUUAAUCGUACAAAUUUAUCAAAAUUAUUAUGUUUUUAUAUAAAUAUUUUUUUGGAUUUGUUUAAUAAAAUCCUUUUAAAACUAAUUCAAAGGUGAAACCUGAUUAAUUUUUGAGUAAAAUAAUUUUUUAAUAAUAAAAAAGGAGAAGAAAUAUUAUGUUAUAUAAAAUUUAUAAAAAUAUUGAAGUGGCACAAUAUUUUUUUUAAUAUUUUAUAAAUUAUAAAACUAUUUCUUUAAUGAUUAUAGUUGUUCAAACUUUUAAUAUGUAAAAAGUACCUAUUGUUUUUUCUUUCUAUAUAAAUAUACAUUAUAUACUAAUUUGGUGUACUUAAGGAAACUCUCUAUCCACCACAUUCAUAUAUAGGGAAACUCUUUCGUACAUAUCUUGACAAAUUAGAUGCUAACUGUGGAGGAUAUCUUCAAACACUAUUAAAAUAUUGUUUAUUCGAACAUAAUCAUAUUCUUUUUUCUUUUUAUUGUAUUUUUUCUUUAUUUCUCUCAUGUACGAAUAUCAUAAGAUGUGACACUAUUUAAUUCAAUAAAAGACUAAAAUAAAAGGUAACCCAAAAUAAAAUGAUAUUUUAAAAUAAUAAGAUUCAAGUUAAAACGAUAAUUAAAAUUUAUAUAUUAAAUAUAUUUAAUUAUAACAUAAAUUCAUUAUGAUAUGGAAACUUGGAAGCCAAAAUUAAAAGAAAAUGAAAAGAUUAUAAUUAUAUUUCCGCCUUUUUUGCAUUAUUUUCAAAAAUUUAAAGANCAAAAUUAAAAGAAAAUGAAAAGAUUAUAAUUAUAUUUCCGCCUUUUUUGCAUUAUUUUCAAAAAUUUAAAGAACAAAGACAUAGUUUCAAGAUACAUGAAAUUACAACACGAUAUAAAUAUAUAAAGUUUAUAAAAUUACAAUUAUUCAUCAUAAGCUAUAUUAUUUAUAUUUUUUGAUAUUUCAAAAAAUAUUAUUUAGGAUAAGUUAUGAGAAUGGACUUAAAAAUGAUUUAACAUGUCCUCUCAUGAACCUCUACAAACUUUGUGCAUAUUUUGUUAACGCACUUAAAAAUUAUUCUCUGAUUGUUAGCACUCAUCAUUGAGAAUGGACAAUUUUCAUCAGUUUGACAUGGUUGCCCCCCUUAGUGAAAAAUAGAAUAAAAAAUGUUAGUGAAACAUGAAGAAAGAUAUUGUAAGAAUUAUAACAUAAAAUAAAAACUAAUUAAAAAGCAAAAAUGAUUUACCGUUAUGCCCGGAUGAAAGAAUAUGUCCGGAUGAAAGAAGGAAUAGGGAAAAAAAUAAAAUUAUAGCAUAAAUAAAUUUGACAACUUUUGUCAUUUUUUCUCUCUUUCUCGUUAGAAGUAAAAAGAGAGUUGAGCAAUUUAUAGUGUAUAAAUCCAAUGUAAUGUUUAAAACAAUUAAAUAUUUUAAGCCCUA
rnacentral:lncRNA from 1 species